CUUGGAGCAACAUUACAUUUUGG
rnacentral:siRNA from 1 species